rnacentral:tRNA from 1 species
AGUGUAGCUCAGUGGCAGAGCACUUGCCUAACAUGCACAAGGCCUGGGUUCAACCCCAAGCACU